AGUCAGGGAGAGAUGACAUCUGGAUGUCUGAUUUAUUCACUAGCAAAAUGCUGGCUGAACCUAAAAUAAGAAAAUAGAGAUUUAUGUAACAGAUUGCAGCGCCUUAAUUUAAGAAUGACUAGGAAACCAGCAGACACUCCCCAGCCCUGCUCUGCCCGGAAUCACAUGCUUCCAAGUGAAUAUCGCCUUUCUUAAGGGACAAAGUCACAUGGAGAAUAGGGGCACUAUUUCUCCAAAGUCCAACACCGUACCUGAAUCUUUUCAAGAUGAUGGGACUGUAAUCCAGAUAAAUCUUGGCAUUCAAUUACACAUUGGCUGCUUUUUUUUUCCCCUUUGCAAAGGGCUCUUGAAAAAUCUAGCAGAGAGCUGCUCCCGUUUAUUUUAAUUCUACUUGGAAGUCCACAAUCUGCUUCAUAGUGGUCUCCUCGCCAAGAGAAUCGGAAAACUCUUGGGACCUGAAGAGGAAGGAUUCCUGUCCUGUCUACUAAGAAAUGUUAAGUCAAUGUCACAAUUGUCACCUCUUCAGAGCCGUGAGGUUUGUUUGUUGUUUUGUACUGGACUAUGUUCUUCUAAGCAUCAAAAUGCAACCUCUCGAUUCUGGUCCUGAUGGUUCUCUAGACUCCUGCCUGGCUUGCCACUUGCUCUUCUUGUCUUGCCUACACUGAGUCAUGUUGCAGUUUCCCUUCUGGCUCCCAGCCUUACACUAACUCUGGAACACUCAGAGCUGAUAGGCCAGCCCUGCUAGGGAGACAGAGGACUCCCUGGCCUGCAUGAGACGUGCUCAUCUCAUUCUGACUCCUCCUUGCUGCCUGGCUCUCCUGUUCUCUGGCCCAACUCUCCUUCCUGUGAUCUGACCAGGUUCUAGGCGAGGCAGUAGCAUAGGAAGGAUCCAUUCAUAUCUCCAUCUGUGUUCAGCAGGACAGAAAGAAAUGAUAGACCAUCCAAGGGAAAUAUGCAUAAAGAUUACCUCCUCCAGUGGCUAACAACUCACAUGAAUCCCAGAUCAAGGAAGAAGAGACUCCGUAAUGACAGCUCACUUGCCUUCUUUCUCCCCCAAAUCUCUAUCUUUACAAGGCCAUCCUGUCAAAGCCCAAGUCCAUCAGACCUGUGUUGGAAUCACAUCUUUGAAGUGAGCAUCCUGCUGUGUCUCAUGAUCCUCCCUGUGUGUAAUUGCUCUAAGAACCAGGUAGCUGAUGCACAGAAGCUUCAGCCCAGGGUCUGAUGGUAGUCGUGUUACUUCUGUCAUUUUCAUCAGGAGUAACAUCUUCUGUCCACUGGCUAAGAAAGCUUUUAAUAGACACACUGCUGACUGAGAAUUUUCCUCCCAUUGUAGUUCAUUUCAUUCCCCAGAAAAUUUCUCAACCCUUCCUGAUUCUGUUGGAACAUGUGUGAAAUUCAUUACUUCACAGACUCGGAGUCUUCCUGCCUCGAAGCCAUUCCAUAGCUGUGCCAAAACACACGAGUCUGCUGACAACAUAUUACUGCAUCUAUGAAACGGAGACGGGGCAGCCUGACCCAUGCUUCAGGGCAGAGUGUGUGUGCUUAUGAACAGAAUCACCUUCAACCCAGAUACAAUCUUUAUUGUUAUGACUUAUCUCUGCUUCUUCCUGAGUACUGGCAAGAUGGACCAGGUAUUUUCUUCUCACCUAGAUACCAAAAUAAAGACUCUUCCAAACUCCUGGCUUCUGAGUUCUGAUGCCAGGGUGUAGGAGCCAGCCCCUGAGUCACUCAUCUGAGAGCCAAGCUGAGGGGAGGUGGUUUUCAUUUCAGGAACUAGGUCCCUAG
rnacentral:lncRNA from 1 species